rnacentral:rRNA from 1 species
CAGUCGCCGCGGGAAUACAGAGGGUGCGAGCGUUAAUCGGAUUUACUGGGCGUAAAGCGUGCGUAGGCGGCUUCUUAAGUCGGAUGUGAAAUCCCUGAGCUUAACUUAGGAAUUGCAUUCGAUACUGGGAAGCUAGAGUAUGGGAGAGGAUGGUAGAAUUCCAGGUGUAGCGGUGAAAUGCGUAGAGAUCUGGAGGAAUACCGAUGGCGAAGGCAGCCAUCUGGCCUAAUACUGACGCUGAGGUACGAAAGCGUGGGGAGCAAACAGGAUUAGAUACCCCAGUAGUCCCUGUCUCUUAUAC